rnacentral:tRNA from 1 species
GAGCCAUUAGCUCAGUCGGUAGAGCACCGGACUUUUAAUCCGGGCGCCCGGGGUUCGAAUCCCCGAUGGCUCACCA